UGAUAUGAAGAGAAAAGGUGGCCUCUGUAUAUGCUACCGAUUAUGGAUGGACCCGCGUCUGAUUAGCCAGUUGGUGGGGUAAUGGCCUACCAAAGCGACGAUGGGUAGCCGGCCUGAGAGGGUGACCGGCCACACUGGAACUGAGAUACGGUCCAGACUCCUACGGGAGGCAGCAGUGGGGAAUCUUCCGCAAUGGGCGAAAGCCUGACGGAGCAACGCCGCGUGAGCGAAGAAGGUCUUCGGAUUGUAAAGCUCUGUGAUAUUGGGACGAACAAUUUCCCGUAAAUAAUGGGAAGGAAUGACGGUACAAUAAGAGGAAGCCACGGCUAACUACGUGCCAGCAGCCGCGGUAAUACGUAGGGGGCAAGCGUUAUCCGGAAUUAUUGGGCGUAAAGGGUGCGUAGGUGGUUAAUUAAGUCUUUGGUAUAAGUGCAGUGCUCAACGCUGUGACGCUAAAGAAACUGGUUGACUUGAGUGUAGUAGAGGCAAGUGGAAUUCCAUGUGUAGCGGUAAAAUGCGUAAAUAUAUGGAGGAACACCGGUGGCGAAGGCGGCUUGCUGGGCUAUAACUGACACUGAGGCACGAAAGCGUGGGGAGCAAACAGGAUUAGAUACCCUGGUAGUCCACGCCGUAAACGAUGAGUACUAAGUGUAGGGGAAACUCUGUGCUGUAGUUAACGCAAUAAGUACUCCGCCUGGGGAGUACGCACGCAAGUGUGAAACUCAAAGGAAUUGACGGGACCCCGCACAAGCGGUGGAUUAUGUUGUUUAAUUCGACGCAACGCGAAGAACCUUACCAGGCCUUGACAUACUCGGCAAAGCUCUAGAGAUAGAGUGGAGGUAGCCCGGUGACAGGUGCUGCAUGGCUGUCGUCAGCUCGUGUCGUGAGAUGUUGGGUUAAGUCCCGCAACGAGCGCAACCCUUGUCUUUAGUUGCCAUCAUUCAGUUGGGGACUCUAGAGAGACUGCCGGUGAUAAACCGGAGGAAGGUGGGGAUGACGUCAAAUCAUCAUGCCCCUUAUGGCCUGGGCUACAAACGUAAUACAAUGGCGUAUACAAAGGGAUGCGAAAGGGCGACCUGGAGCAAAACUCACAAAGUACGUCUCAGUUCGGAUUGAAGUCUGCAACUCGACUUCAUGAAGGCGGAAUCGCUAGUAAUCGCGGAUCAGCAUGCCGCGGUGAAUACGUUCUCGGGGUUUGUACACACCGCCCGUCAAACCACGAAAGUCGGCA
rnacentral:rRNA from 1 species